UAAUAUUCUUUUUUUCAUGUGAUGGCCAGAUAUUUUAUGAUGAUCUAUCUGUGCUUGUGCAUUUAUUGCAUUCAAAAAGCAGACGUGCAAACAUACAGUAUUAUGUUGAUGUAGUUAAAAAAAAAAAACAAGUCCACGCUUCUGCUAAUGAAUCAAGUGUGUAAUCACUGAAACAGGCUUAUUGAAAAUGCAGCCCUGAAAAUGGUCCCGACACCGUUUAGUAUCUUGUCUGCAACACACAACGAUCAGAGAUAGAUUUAAAAGUGGUUUAGGUUUUAUCUAA